rnacentral:rRNA from 1 species
GACGAACGCUGGCGGCGUGCUUAACACAUGCAAGUCGAACGGAAAGGCCCUGCUUUUGUGGGGUGCUCGAGUGGCGAACGGGUGAGUAACACGUGAGUAACCUGCCCUUGACUUUGGGAUAACUUCAGGAAACUGGGGCUAAUACCGGAUAGGAGCUCCUGCUGCAUGUUGGGGGUUGGAAAGUUUCGGCGUUUGGGGAUGGACUCGCGGCUUAUCAGCUUGUUGGUGGGGUAGUGGCGUCCCAAGUUUUUGACGGGUAGCCCGCAUGGGAGGGGGACCGGGCACCUGGGGACUGCGGUACGGCCCAGACUCCGACGGGAGGCAGCAGUGGGGAAUAUUGCGGAAUGGGCGGAAGCCUGAUGCAGCAACGCCGCGUGCGGGAUGACGGCCUUCGGGUUGUAAACCGCUUUCGCCUGUGACGAGGCGUGAGUGACGGUAAUGGGUAAAAAAGCACCGGCUAACUACGUG